AUCAUAAUUAUCCUUGCUUAAGCAUUUGCUUUGUAAGGGAAGUGAGGAGGCAACUAAUCGUGGAAGAAUUUAAGC
rnacentral:sRNA from 1 species